rnacentral:rRNA from 1 species
CGUCUAUAUACGUAUAGCAUAUCAAUAAGCGGAGGAAAAGAAACUAACUAGGAUUCCCUUAGUAACGGCGAGUGAAGCGGGAAGAGCUCAAAUUUGAAAUCUUCAAGGUUUUACCUUGACGAAUUGUAGUUUAAAGAAGUGUUUUCUGUUAGUGGAGUUUGGUAAAAGUUCUUUGGAAUAGGACAUCAUAGAGGGUGAGAAUCCCGUAUUUGGACCAUUACUUCCCUAGCUUUGUGAUACACUUUCAAAGAGUCGGAUUGUUUGGGAAUGCAGUCCAAAAUGGGUGGUAAAUUUCAUCUAAAGCUAAAUACUGGCGAGAGACCGAUAGCGAACAAGUACCGUGAGGGAAAGAUGAAAAGAACUUUGAAAAGGAGAGUUAAACAGUACGUGAAAUUGUCAAAAGGGAAGCGUUUGACACCAGUGUUGUUUUUCCGAAAAUCAAUUACGAAUGUUUUAUUUUUGAGGAGUUAUGACUUCAUCGGCUUGCUCCUUUCUUUAUCGAAACUUUCUUAAUGCACUUUUCGGUUAACAAGUCAACAUCAAUUUCUUUUGUUGUAAAAGGGUCAUUGGAAGGUGGCUUUCUUUUCGGAGAAAGUGUUUAUAGCCUUUGGCCUCUGCAAUCGGAGAGAUUGAGGUCUGCAGCGUAGAUCCUUCGGGGUUAGAUACAUUUGUGCUAAGUUAUAGCCUUUCAUAGACAACUUGUUGACUAUGAUCAGUCAUGUAGCUUACUCGCUUAUGCUAUUUUACCUACGCUUAGGAUGUUGACUGAUAUGUAGUCGUA